rnacentral:rRNA from 1 species
GACGAACGCUGGCGGCGUGCUUAACACAUGCAAGUCGAACGGGCUUCUGGGGUUCUGGCUUUUGUGGUUGGGGUUCUGGGGGUUAGUGGCGAACGGGGGCGUAACACGUGAGUGACCUGCGCUUCACUUCUGGAUAACCGCUUGAAAGGGUGGCUAAUACGGGAAGUUUCUGGGUCUGUCGCAUGGCGGGUUCGGGAAAGAUGGCACUGUUUGGUGUUUUUGGUGGGGGUUGGGCUCGCGGCCGAUCAGCUUGUUGGUGGGGUGAUGGCGUGCCAAGGCGACGAUCAGUAGCUGGUCUGAGAGGACGAGCAGGCACACUGUGACUGAGAGACGGCCCAGACUCCUACGGGAGGCGGCAGUGGGGAAUUUUGGACAAUGGGCGAAAGCCUGAGCCAGCAAUGCCGCGUGUGUGAAGAAGGCCUUCGGGUUGUAAAGCACUUUUGUCCGGAAAGAAAACCUUGGCCCUAAUACGGUCGGGGGAUGACGGUACCGGAAGAAUAAGCACCGGCUAACUACGUG